AGUACCUAUGUAGGACUGAUGACGAUUCCCAAGUUAGAAAUUAAAACGUUUCGUAUGAAUUUGUUAAAAAAAAAAUACAUAUUAAGUAAUAACGAUGACCAGUAGUUAGGUAUCACUUAUCGUUGGUCCAUUUCAAAAUAUAGAGUACUAGAAUAGUUAUGUUUUGUUUAAUGUUUUUUUAUUUCCCGAACACCACACGCGAAGACCAGCUUUUCCUCCAUAACAAACUAUUUUUAAACGUAUCCAAUUAGUACACUCCAAUUCGUUAAUGUGCGUAACUACCUGUUGAGUAUAUUAAAAUCUACCUACGCUAUGACGCCAUUAUGUGAACACCACCACCAGUCGACGGAGCGUAUAUCGAAAUAGGUGUUUUACUCGUCGCUACUACACCGAUGGUUGUUUUUCGGAAAGAGUGCCAAACACUGUGAAAGAUUAAUAUUAUUCUUAUUGUUAUAAAUAUCAAUUCUCAUUGACCUCGUCCCGUGAUUCGAAACUUAAAAUCGUACAUAUUCUAUGAUAAGCAUUGGUUGUAAAAUAUACAUUUUUAGUGAAAGCUUGCAGUGAUGAAAAGAAAAAUUCAUAAUAGAUAUUAUUUACAUCGAAGGAUUUUGGAGACAAGUAUAGAAAUUAAAAGAUAAAAUACCUAUGAAAAAUAUAACAUCUAACAAAAUAAUUAUUAUAAAGAGCCGAUAACGUUUUAUAUAAGAUUCAAGUACUGUGGAUCAUGACUCACAAGUGUUGUAUAUAAAGAUCGCUUUAAGAUGUGUUAGACAAAAUGUGUAUACAGACGAAACAUUUUAUCUCAAAUGGACUCAAUUUAUCCAAACGUUGAAAAAUAUCGACAAUUAUGCUUUGCUGAUGGGUAGUAGGUACCCAGUAAAAGGCAGGUUUUCUCAUCAUUAUUGAUUGACAGCAAUGGGCUCGAGUUUGUCGUGUCAAAGAACCUUUUUUGGAGGAUCCAGCGCUGUAAACAUCGAACGGGUAUUAUAUUAGAAUCGAUAUAAGAAUUUAAUUAUUGAGUUGAAAUAUAUUAUAACUUAAAUGUAUAAAUUAUAAUUAUAUAGUCUUCGAUGCCAUUACAAAGCAAUUGAUGUGCAGAAGAACUUGUUAAUAUCACAUUGUUUAAUAUAAUAUGCACUUCGAUUAAUUAUACUGUUUUUGGAUGGAUUAGUGACACCGUUUCAAAGUGUAUCUGUGUAUCUAUACGAUAAUCGUUGACAAAUUAUUUA